rnacentral:rRNA from 1 species
UACAGAGGAUGCAAGCGUUAUCCGGAAUAAUUGGGCGUAAAGCGUCUGUAGGUGGUUGACCAAGUCUGUUGUUAAAAAUCAGGGCUCAACCCUGAUCCGGCAACAGAAACUAGUAAACUUGAGUACGGUAGGGGCAGAGGGAAUUCUCGGUGUAGUGGUGAAAUACGUAGAUAUCGAGAAGAACACCAAUAGCGAAAGCACUCUGCUGGGCCGAAACUGACAUUGAGAGACGAAAAGCUAGGGGAGCAAAUGGG